UACGAAGGGGGCUAGCGUUGUUCGGAUUUACUGGGCGUAAAGCGCACGUAGGCGGAUCGUUAAGUCAGGGGUGAAAUCCUGGAGCUCAACUCCAGAACUGCCUUUGAUACUGAAGAUCUUGAGUUCGGGAGAGGUGAGUGGAACUGCGAGUGUAGAGGUGAAAUUCGUAGAUAUUCGCAAGAACACCAGUGGCGAAGGCGGCUCACUGGCCCGAUACUGACGCUGAGGCACGAAAGCGUGGGGAAGCAAACAGGG
rnacentral:rRNA from 1 species